UACGUAGGGGGCAAGCGUUGUCCGGAUUUAUUGGGCGUAAAGAGCUCGUAGGCGGUUUGGUAAGUCUGGUGUGAAAUCUCCACGCUCAACGUGGAGGGGCCACCCGAUACUGCCAUGACUGGAGUCCGGUAGAGGAGUGUGGAAUUCCCGGUGUAGCGGUGAAAUGCGCAGAUAUCAGGAGGAACACCAGCGGCGAAGGCGGCGCUCUGGGCCGGUACUGACGCUGAGGAGCGAAAGCGUGGGUAGCAAACAGG
rnacentral:rRNA from 1 species